GGUCCCAUAACUCAGUUGGUUAGAGUGUCGUACUAAUAUUACAAGUAAAUUGUAACAUAUGUAAUGCGAAAGUCGUGAGUUCAAGCCUCACUGGGACCA
rnacentral:tRNA from 1 species